GGGGGAUUAGCUCAGUUGGUAGAGCAUUUGGUUCGCAAUCAAAGGGUCGUCGGUUCGAGUCCGAUAUUCUCCAC
rnacentral:tRNA from 1 species